UGCCCGGAAGGCGGGCCGGUGGGGGGGAUGCGGUCGGCGGUGGCGGCGGCGACUCUGGACGCGCGCCGGGCCCUUCCUGCGGAUCUCCCCAGCUGUGGUGCCCGUCCGGGUCCCCUAUCUCUUCCCCAUCUCCGUGGGGGUGGGGCGGGGGCCCCCCGGCCGGGUGUUACCAGCUGACUAAGAACUGGUGCGGACCAGGGGAAUCCGACUGUUUAAUUAAAACAAAGCAUCGCGACGGCCGCGCUGGGUGUUGACGCGAUGUGAUUUCUGCCCAGUGCUCUGAAUGUCAAAGUGAAGAAAUUCAAUGAAGCGCGGGUAAACGGCGGGAGUAACUAUGACUCUCUACGCCGGCUGUGACAUGUGUCUAUAAUGUGUUAUCCUCUAACACCUACCAAGGCUCUGCCCACCCUUGGUUAUCCGCUCUAACCUUCCUCUCCAACUAGAUGGUUUUGUGUGCCAUGGCUUGCUGGUUGGGUCUUGCACUUAGCUAACCAGUCCUGUCUUCCACGGAUAAGGACACCGACCAUUCUCA
rnacentral:ncRNA from 1 species